GUCAAAAGCCUGUCAUGUUAAUAUUUUGCAAACACGAAAAGUUUAUUUGUUUUGUUUUGAUAACUGCAGGAUUCUGAUAAAAUAGCUCACAAUGGGGUGUAUGCUGCGCAGUGACUUGAUGACGCUGUGUGAUAUGUAUCUCCAACGAGAGGCCGGCUUUGAGACUCUCUCGCAACUUGGCGAGAUGGGCUGUGUCCAGUUUUUGGAUUUAAAUGCAGAUGUGCAGCCCUUCCAAAAACAAUACGUAGCGGACUUGUGUCGAUGCGCGGAAAUGGAGCGCAAACUGCGCUACAUGGAAUCUGAAAUGAUUAAAGAUAACAUAGAAGUUGUUAGACAUGACAAAGAACCUCGAGCCUUGCACCCGAAUGAAAUGCUACAC